AUCCACCUGGAAAGAGAAGAGAGAAAGACGUUAGGAAGAUGAACGGAGAGAGAGAGAGAGAGAGAGAGAGAGUAACAGAGAGAGAGAGAGAAACAGAGAGAGAGAGAGUAACAAACUUACCGGAUCAAAAACUGUAAUUUCUCCCUCCAAUUCUGUUAUUUAUUAAUUCUGAACUAGUGAUUGGGCUGCUGGUUAUUAUUGAUUGGUAACUUCUCCAAAUUGGGCAUGUUACUUGUGACUUAGGCCCAAUACCGCCUAAGCCCAACAUAGGCUUCUUCUCUUAUCCUUAUCUCUUUUCCUAAUUCAUUUCUUCACUUUCGUAAGUUCUCCGCCUCAGGCAUAACAUUCUCCACCCCUUCAAGAUAGACCUUGUCCUCAAGGUCUUUGUUGUGCCACAAAAUCUGGGAAUCGGUCUUGAUGUAACCCCAAUCUUCCCAUGAUGCUUCUUCUCUGCCUAGGUUAGCCUAUUGAAUCAAUACCUUGACCUGAACCCCAUUAUCGACCUUGACCAUUCUUCUCUCUAAACUGGCAAUUGGUUGGAUCAAGACUCAACCUUCAUCAUCACAAGUGGGAGGUUGUAGCUGAGAUGUCGCUGUUAGAUCGAUCCACUUCUUUAAUUGAGACAUAUAGAAGACAGAUGAAGCUGAGAUCCACUUGGAAGUUCAAGCCGGUAAGCCACUGUACUAAUCUUCUGUAGAAUUUUGUACGGACCAUAACAGCGAGCACUUAACUUCACAUUUUUACGAACAUCGACUGAAGAUUGUCUGUAAGGUUGAAGCUUUAGGUAGACUAGAACCCCUACUGCCAAAGUCCUUUCUAACCUUAGUUUGUCUGCAUAAAAUUUCAUUCUAGAUUAAGCUUGAGUGAGGUUAUCUUUGAUAGUUUGUAGCAUGUGUUAUCGUUGUGCUAUAUUGGCUCAUGCUCAGUUGUGACCAUUAUGAGGCAAUGACCCCAAUGGUAAUUGAGUCGGAGGGUGUCCAUAUAGCGCCUCAAAUGGUGUGUCUUGAGAGAAGUGUGGUAGUUAGUAUUGUACCACCACUCUGCAAGAUGUAGCCAUUUAGCCCACUGCUAGGAUUUCCAAAUACUAUCGCUCACAGAUAAGUCUCUAAGCACUUGUUGAGUCACUCAGACUGACCAUCGGACUGUGGGUGAUAGGAAGAACUCAUGUUGAGUUUAGUGCCUAAAGCCUUGAAGAGGUGCAGCCAAAAAUGGCUAGUAAAAAUGGUAUCUCUAUCAGAGACAAUAGCCUUGGGAAGCCCAUGUAAUAUGUAUAUCUCCCUCAUAAACAAUUAUGCUACACAUUGUGCUGAAUAUGGGUGUUUAAUAGCUAGGAAAUGCCCAUACUUUGUUAGUCUAUCUAUGACUACCAACACUUCGAUAAAGUCAAGAGAUAUAUCCUGCCAAGCCUGUUCAAGAAUAGUAAGGGUUGGAGUAACCCUGGAUAAUGUUUGUGUUCAGCCUUAGUCCUUUGGCAGAUAUCACACUCACUAACCCACUUAAAGUUUUUUGAUUUCAUUUUUGGCCGAUAGAACAUUGAUUGCACCCUCCUGUAGGUUCCUUGAUUAACUGAGUGUCCUCAUAAUGAUGAUUGAUGCAGGGCUUCCAAUAUCUGUUGCUUCAACUAUUUAUUCUUCCCAACAUAGAUCUUUUGCUUGAAUUUGAUGAUUCCUUGGUGUACUGAGUAGUUAUCUUUGCUGUUAGGACUGAUCACUAACUGACUUAAAAUCUGUAGAGCUAUUGGAUCAUUCUCAUAACUCUGAGAAACCUCCUAUAACCAUGUGGCCUGGGAUGUAGAUAUAGCUGUUAGUGUAGAGUCUUCUUCUUGUCUUCUUGAAAGAGCAUCUGCAACCUUCUUCUCCACACCUUUCUUGUAUUGAACCGCAUAAUCCAACCCUAGUAAUUAGUAAGUCCUUUAUGUUGUAAGGCUAUGGACACUUUUUGCUCUAAUAUAUACUUAAGACUCUGAUGAUCUGUUUUGACGAUGAAGUGUCCCCCUGGUAAGUAAUGCCUCCAUUUGUCUAUGGCUGAAAGUACAGCAAGGUACUCCUUUUCAUAAGUAGAAAGUCCCUUGUGUUUCAAGGCUAAUGCCUAACUGAAAUAGGCUAUAGGUCUGCCCCCUUGCAUGAGUACAACUCCCAUACCUAUUGCACAUGCAUCAGUUUCGAUAAUAAAUGGUUUACUAAAAUCAGCAAGAGUCAAUAUUGGACAGUUGCCAUGGCUUAUUUCAAUUGCUGGAAAUCCUCUUCUGCUUCUGUACUCCACAUAAAAGAAUUCUUCUUGAGAAGAUUUGUCAAGGGUCUACUGAUAACUCCAUAGAGCUUAACAAAUCUUCUAUAAUAGCAAAUUAACCCAAAAAAUCCCAUUAAGGCUUUCAAAGACUUAGGAAUAGGUCAAUUGAUCAUUUCUUCAAUCUUAGAAGGGUUCGUGGGAACUCCUUUUCCUGAGAUAAUGUGACCUAGGUACUCAACUUUAUCUUGUCCAAAUGAACACUUUGACAAUUUGGCAUAUAGUUGCUCCCUGUAAGGUCUAAUAUUGACUGGAACUGCUUCAGGUUUGAGGGGAAUGAAGUGAUCAUGCUUUCUUCUAGGAGGUAGUGCUUUUGGAUCGGCAAAGACCUUUGUAAUGUCUUUCAACACUAAUUUAAUCUCCUGGGGUAUGGCUGCUGUUACUUUUUCUUCUUUGGAGGUUAAAGUGAAUAGUGCCCGCAAUACUUGACUUUUCUUCAGUAGUUGCUUCAUACCUGAAGCUAACAUAGCUUGGAAGCUCCCUUCUUUAGUGUAUCCUUUCAAAUCUACCCUUUCCCAGUGACACUGACUUGCAACUUGUAUCCAAUGAAUUCAAAUAGUAUAUGAUUAUGCUUUCUCAUCCAAUCUCCCCCAAGUACUAUAUCACAACCUCCAAUUUCUAACAAUCUGAGUUUGUAAUCAAAUUAUACUCCUUGAACCUUCCAUUGAAACUGAGGGAAGUAGUGGUAGCUCAUCAUAUGACUACCAUUGGCAGCAGUCACCCUCAUAGGAGCAGCUUCUCUAAUCAUACACCAUAAUUGUUUGGCAGUGUCACUGGCCACAAAGUUGUGGGUGCUCCCACUAUCAGCUAAUGUUAUCAACUCUUGCUUCCUGUAUAUUUCUUUGAGCUUGAUUGUGUUCGAUGUAACCUUACCUGAUAAGGCAUUAAAACUAAUAGCUUCAUCAGUCACCUCUUCAUAAGGCUCCUCCAAUUCCUUAAUCUCUUCUAAACUGGACCCUUCUACCAUCUCCUCCUAUUCAGUAGUACCUGAUAGGAUAUUAAUUUGUCUAUUCUUACACACAUGACAUGGGAAGUGUCUUCUCCACUUAUAACACUCUCCCCUAGCUUUUCUAGCCUCAAACAGUUUGUUACCCGAUAUAGAAUUGUUAAGAUUCCUAUCUUUAUGCCGCAUACCAGAAUUCUUUACCACUCCUGCACUAAAAUUAGUGUUGUACUCUACCCCUUGUCUAUUACAAACCAAUUUUCCUUUUUGUUCAUUGAUUCCAACAGUUCUUCCUUAUGUCUAGCCUUCUCUACUGCUAUACUCAAUGAAUAAGGAUCCAAAAUUUUAACUGUGUACCUAAUUUCUUCCUGAAGACCUUCAAUGAAGAAUCCUAAGAAGAAUUCUUAAGUAUAGUAGGGUGUUUGAUCAACAGCCAAGCUAUAAGAUCUUCAAACUUCUCAAGAUACUCAUUCACAGUCCCUAUUUUCUCAAUCCUUUUGAAUUUUCCUAGAAAAUUCAGAUUGCUAUUAUCAGAAUUAUUAAACCUCUUACAAAUUUCCUCUACAAAAUCAGCCUAUCUUACGACUCCCUUGCUUAAUUGAUAUGAAAAAUACCAAGCCUAGGCUCUACCAUUUAAAUGUAACACAAUAGUUUCUAAUUGGUGGUGAGGAUCUAUUAUGCAAUUACAAUAAAAAUAUCUCUCACAUUUUUGCAGCCAAGACCUGGGAUCACCUUCUUCGAAAUAAGGCAAUCAACUUUGCUGUUGUUCACAUAGAAUCUACUGCCAGAAUUUUCAUGAAGAUCCUUCAUCCUUGCUCUACCGGAUCCUUCUGUCCUUUCGUGAAUUUUAGUUGGUGCACUCCCCAAAAGGCCAUCCUUGUUGGUGAAUAGCUUUUCCAUCAUCACAUCCAAUUUGUGACCAAGAUCAUUUAUUUUUGUCAUAUUAGUUCCAAUUUCUGAUUGGUUUUAGUCAUGUAAUUCUGUAAUUGUUGCUCUAAUUUCUUCACGCUUUCUUAUGUAAGUUUGGCUUGAGUUUCUGUAAUCGUCAUGAUGCGAGGAUCAGGCUCUGAUACCAAUUUUUAAUGUACUAGAAUUAUUAAGAAGAAAUUGAAAAUAACAAGCAGAACAUGAUUUAUUAUUCAAUUGUCAAUCAGUUAAACUACAAUUACAAUGGAUAUAAAAGAGCUCUUGUAUCCACAUGGAAAGAGAAGACAGAAA
rnacentral:lncRNA from 1 species